rnacentral:rRNA from 1 species
AUUGAACGCUGGCGGCAUGCUUUACACAUGCAAGUCGAACGGCAGCGCGGGCUUCUUCCUGGCGGCGAGUUGCCAACGGGUGAGUAAUUCAUACGAACGUGCCCAGUCGUUGGGGCUAGCCCGACGACAGCCGGCUUAAUACCGCAUCCGACCUUAUUGUGAACGCGAUGGAUCGAAAGUCCUCGCCCUAUUUGCGCGCCCGUUGUCGGAUUAGCUAGUUGGUGGGGUAAAGGCUUACCAAGGCGACGAUCCGUAGCUGGUCUGAGAGGACGACCAGCCACACUGGGACUGAGACACGGCCCAGACUCCUACGGGAGGCAGCAGUGGGGAAUUUUGGACAAUGGGGGCAAGCCUGACCCAGCCAUGCCGCGUGCGGGAAGAAGGCCUUCGGGUUGUAAAACGCUUUUGUUAGGGAAGAACACCUCUGGGCUAAUACCCCGGGGGGAUGACGGUACCGGAAGAAAAAGCAACGGCUAACUACGUG